GACAUACACCGGAAAACCGUAGAAGAUUACCGGUCCCCCUUGUGGUCGGUGUACAGGUGGUGCAUGGCUGUCGUCAGCUCGUGUCGUGAGAUGUUGGGUUAAGUCCCGCAACGAGCGCAACCUUGUCUUAUGUUGCCAGCACGUGAUGGUGGGGACUCGUAAGAGACUGCCGGGGUCAACUCGGAGGAAGGUGGGGACGACGUCAAGUCAUCAUGCCCCUUAUGUCCAGGGCUUCACACAUGCUACAAUGGCCAGUACAGAGGGCUGCGAGACCGUGAGGUGGAGCGAAUCCCUUAAAGCUGGUCUCAGUUCGGAUCGGGGUCUGCAACUCGACCCCGUGAAGUCGGAGUCGCUAGUAAUCGCAGAUCAGCAACGCUGCGGUGAAUACGUUCCCGGGCCUU
rnacentral:rRNA from 1 species